rnacentral:lncRNA from 1 species
UACACCCCACUCUCAUUCUCUCUCUAGCCCUAGAAGCCCCCACCUCUCUCUCUCUCUUUCUCUCUUUCUCUCUGUGACCCACUACGUCGCCGUCGGCAACGCCGACGACGCCCUUAACCCACCGAGAACACCCACCACCCCUCUUGCUCUCUCUAACAUCUCUCUCUUCCUCUCACUCUCACUAUGCCGCCGCCGCCGAUGCCGCCCUCUGUCGCCCAAGGUUACACCCCACCCUCAUUCUCUCUCUAGCCCUAGAAGCCUUCACCUCUCUCUCUCUCUUUCUUUCUCUCUCUUUCUCUCUGUGACCCACCCCGUCGCCGGGCAUCGCCCUUACC